CCGGCGCACGGGUGAGUAACACGUAUCCAACCUGCCGUCUACUCUUGGACAGCCUUCUGAAAGGAAGAUUAAUACAAGAUGGCAUCAUGAGUCCGCAUGUUCACAUGAUUAAAGGUAUUCCGGUAGACGAUGGGGAUGCGUUCCAUUAGGUUGUUGGUGAGGUAACGGCUCACCAAGCCUUCGAUGGAUAGGGGUUCUGAGAGGAAGGUCCCCCACAUUGGAACUGAGACACGGUCCAAACUCCUACGGGAGGCAGCAUG
rnacentral:rRNA from 1 species